UACAGGGUGUGCAAACGUUGCUCGGAAUCAUUGGGCGUAAAGCGCACGUAGGCGGUUCGUUAUGUCGGAUGUGAAAGCCCUUGGCUUAACCGAGGAAGUGCAUCCGAAACUGGCGAGCUAGAGUACGGAAGAGGGUCGUGGAAUUCCCAGUGUAGAGGUGAAAUUCGUAGAUAUUGGGAAGAACACCGGUGGCGAAGGCGGCGACCUGGUCCGUGACUGACGCUGAGGCGCGAAAGCGUGGGGAGCAAACAGG
rnacentral:rRNA from 1 species